rnacentral:rRNA from 1 species
UACGUAGGGGGCAAGCGUUGUCCGGAAUCAUUGGGCGUAAAGAGCGUGUAGGCGGCCAGAUAGGUCUGCUGUGAAAACUCGAGGCUCAACCUCGAGCUGUCGGCGGAAACCAUCUGGCUAGAGUCCGGAAGAGGAGAGUGGAAUUCCUGGUGUAGCGGUGAAAUGCGCAGAUAUCAGGAAGAACACCUAUGGCGAAGGCAGCUCUCUGGGACGGUACUGACGCUGAGACGCGAAAGCGUGGGGAGCGAACAGG